rnacentral:rRNA from 1 species
GCUCAGUAACACGUGGAUAACCUACCCUUAGGACUGGGAUAACCUUGGGAAACUGAGGAUAAUACUGGAUAGGCAAUUAUUCCUGCAAUGGUUUUUUGUUUAAAUGUUUUUUCGCCUAAGGAUGGGUCUGCGGCCGAUUAGGUAGUUGGUUAGGUAAUGGCUUACCAAGCCGUUGAUCGGUACGGGUUGUGAGAGCAAGAGCCCGGAGAUGGAACCUGAGACAAGGUUCCAGGCCCUACGGGGUGCAGCAGGCGCGAAACCUCCGCAAUGUGAGAAAUCGCGACGGGGGGAUCCCAAGUGCCAUUCUUAACGGGAUGGCUUUUCAUUAGUGUAAAGAGUUUUUGGAAUAAGGGCUGGGCAAGACCGGUGCCAGCCGCCGCGGUAACACCGGCAGCUCUAGUGGUAGCAGUUUUUAUUGGGCCUAAAGCGUCCGUAGCCGGUUUAAUAAGUCUCUGGUGAAAUCCUGUAGCUUAACUGUGGGAAUUGCUGGAGAUACUAUUAGACUUGAGACCGGGAGAGGUUAGAGGUACUCCCAGGGUAGAGGUGAAAUUCUGUAAUCCUGGGAGGACCGCCUGUUGCGAAGGCGUCUAACUGGAACGGUUCUGACGGUGAGGGACGAAAGUUAGGGGCGCGAACCGGAUUAGAUACCCGGGUAGUCCUAACCGUAAACGAUGCGGACUUGGUGUUGGGGUGGCUUUGAGCUGCUCCAGUGCCGAAGGAAGCUGUUAAGUCCGCCGCCUGGGAAGUACGGUCGCAAGACUGAAACUUAAAGG